rnacentral:other from 1 species
CGGAGCAGCCGCAGCUCGCAGCCCGCAGAGGACGCCCAGAGCGGCGAGCCCGCGGGCAGACCGACCGACCGACUCGCGUCGCGUCCA